CUCUGUCUCAAAAAUAAAUAAAUAAAUAAAUAAAUAAAUUUUAAAAAAAUCACAAUAGGUUUCAACAGUAAAGUCUUUGUUUUUCUUCAUAGUAUUAUACUGGAGAACAGUAAAGUCUUUAAGUUUUAAAUUUUGGGAAGCUGUGAAGCUCAUGUAGCAAAUACAAGUGUUCCAAAAUUCGAUUUUUCACUUGAAAGCUUGAAUUAUAUCAUUGGCAACAAACACUGUCAGAUUUUUCCCUGAAGUGACAGACUCACUUUGUUCCUUUUUAGAAAAGUUCUGCCAGCUACCUAAAUCUGAUAACCACAGUUUGUCGGCCAUUCUUUUGAGUAAACGUGGCAUUCCAUAAAAGAGCAGCUAGUUCAGCUCACAACUCAAAGAAUGGCCUAAGUUAUUUCCUCCAGAAAACCAUCAUACUUUGGUAUGCAAAAUGUCUUAUGCAUACUUCCCACUUUAUCAGACAGAAUGUUGAAAAGCCUUUUCCUUAAGGAUUAAGGUUGGCACCAUCCCUAAUGGGCUGUCCUAGAGUUCCAUCUACUUUCUUAGAGAAGGGCUCUCACUCCGUCACCCAGGCUGGUGCACAGUGGCACCAUCAUAGCUCACUGCAGCCUUGAACUCCUGGUCUCAAGCAGUCCUCCUGCCUCAGCCUUUUAAGUAGCUGGGAUUAGAGGCUCGAACCACCGUUACCAGCUACAUUCCAUCUACUUCAAGCUUUCCCUAAUGUGGUGGGAGUAGAAGGUGUUAGUAGCAGAUGGGUGGCGUUUGUGUUCUACUUGAGGAAAUAAUGUACUGGGCGGUAGGGCUGACUAAAGAAUCACGCAUGAAAAUAGUUGCCAACCUAAGACGACUGUCAGAGAGUCCAUGCAUUAUGGACAGAGUGGCUGGAUGGGGACGUGGAAGCACACAGCAUCCACCUCUCUGACUGCCUCUUUCCACUGACCCACCAGAUAAGCAGGGUGGCUGGAACAGGGCUGCUAGCACCUUCCUGGCCACUAGGGGAGCUCUGCCCCCUCUAACAAUAAAUUCUCACACCUGGGUCAAGCUCUUCACUUUUAGCGCUACCCUAGGCAGGAGUGUCCCAACCCAAUCAAGAGCGGUGCCUACCCGAGGCAGCCUCAAGUUGGGAUUUUUCUGCUUGCUAAUGGCUUCAAUCAGUUUUGUGGCCAUAGUUCUCUUAGGCUCAGACACUUACAGGCAUAUUAUUUUUAGCAAAGCUUCUUUUGAAAAUUUGAAUUUGGUCAAGGACUGGAUUUG
rnacentral:lncRNA from 1 species